rnacentral:rRNA from 1 species
UACGUAGGGUGCGAGCGUUGUCCGGAAUUACUGGGCGUAAAGAGCUCGUAGGUGGUUUGUCGCGUUGUUCGUGAAAACUCACAGCUUAACUGUGGGCGUGCGGGCGAUACGGGCAGACUGGAGUACUGCAGGGGAGACUGGAAUUCCUGGUGUAGCGGUGGAAUGCGCAGAUAUCAGGAGGAACACCGGUGGCGAAGGCGGGUCUCUGGGCAGUAACUGACGCUGAGGAGCGAGAGCGUGGGGAGCGAACAGG